rnacentral:lncRNA from 1 species
GGAUGGAGGGGUUGAAGGGGGGAGGGUAGGGGAAGGGGAAAAAAAUAAGAACCAAGAGAGACUAUGUAAAGGUGCAAAUUUCCAAUGGUGAAUGUCAUUAUAUUGUAUACCUAAAACGUACCAAUAAAAGGAUAUACAAAAAAAAAAAAAAGAAAAGAUGAUGGCAUUGGCAUAACAAUGAAUAAAUAAGUACUUAAUAAACAAAACAAAACAAAAAAAGAAAAUACAGAGGUCCAGGAAAUAAUCUCAUAACCAGUAUUCCAGCUGUCUUCUUACCUUACCACCAUAUUCUGGGUAGAUGAUCCGGCCUUAUAGGUAGGUCUGCCUUCUCAGCCAUUGAGUUUCCUCAGGUUGUGCUAAGGCCCCUAUUAUAUUCCACCAGCCACCCAAUCAUAAACUUCCUGGUCCAGGAGAGCCCCUGUAGGAUGGCUCUGGUUCUGAAGAAGCCAGUCUUGACCAAAUUGGCUCUUGGUCCCUGCUUUGUUUUCAGAUGUUGUAUUAGAGAGCAAAAUUGUGAUGGGCAUUUUAGAACCUCCUAGGAGAAGAAAGAAAAGUUUGGGUGGAAUCAAGUUGCUGGAUUAUGUGUGCAGAUUAUUUUCAGGGCUAAUGGAUAUGGAGGUGGUGGACAGAGGAAGACUGCCUUCUGCAGACCCACAUAUUUGUGAAUACAAGCAUCAUUUUUAGCACCAAGACCAUUGAGCACAAUUGAAAUAGAUUGUUUACUCAAAAGAAUAUUUCUAAAAUGUCUAAAAUGCAGAGCACUGUAUGGAAACGUUCCAUGUGAACAAAAUGGACAUGGGCCUUGUUCUUACAUCUUUUCUGUGAGGGCACGGGUAGUUUUAUGCAGGCUAGUGAAUGUUGUGAGAAGAAAACAUUGAACUGGAAGUGUUCACUGGGCCUCUUAACACAGUAUAGUCAACAGAAUCUUCCCAGGGAUGUGAUGUCCAUGAUGAACCCUGAAGAAUAAGAAUGUGGUAGCUGGUGUCAGGGAGAAAGACAGAGGCUCAGAGGCAAGAAAGUUUGGUGUUUGAGACAUUUGAAUAUGGUUUAUUAUAUUUAGAGCAGUGACAGGUGGAAAAGAUGUUUAAAAUGAAGCUGGAGAAUGAGCACUAGCUUGACUGUAAAGGGUUUUUUUUUUUUUAAAUAGAUUUUAUUUUAUUCCAUUCACUACCAGAAGCCCCCUCUGUGAAGGGUUUAACUGUAGGAGUCAGUGUGGGGCUUGGAUGAGGGCAGUGAGGAAGGACUAAUGGGUAUACUUAGUUGUCUGUAUGAUUAAAAAUCAGGAGGAAUGCGAUUAAGAUGGAAAGCAAUUGUUUGUCCCUAUUUCAAGCCCUGGUUAGAAUUCAUAGUUGUUCUGUCUGUAGCCAUCUUUCAUUUUAGGUUUUCUGACGUUAAUCUCCAAAACAUGGAUUAUAUGUGAAACUUUGUUAUUUGUGGCUUUUCAUCUUUAAGGGACAUUCUGCUUAUGAUACUAUUCCUACAUCUCUUUCUAAAUCGUUAUUGUUGAUAUGUGUAGUGCUGUUUAAAAUUACGCUAUUGUAAUUUUAAUACUACCUUUUGUUUGGUUUAUGAUGUAUGUCAGAAUAUAGACUCCUUUGUUUACAAGAUAAAAAUGGUAUUGCCCUAAAAUUCCACUCUUCCCUCCUAUUCCAGCAUGUCUUUCUAUCCUUCAUCACACUUUUAUGUUUUUGUUAUUACUUUUACAUCUCGGGCAUUUUUCACAUUUGUAUCUUAUCUGCAGCCCCAACCAAGUGGUCUGGAGGCUGUUCAUGGGUUGAAGUCUAACUUAUGUUUUUUACUUUAAGGAAUCAUUUUGUUAUUUUGACUCUCUUUUUUUGUGAUAUUCUUUUUUUUUUUUUUGGUACUGGGGAUUGAACUCUGGUCCUUGUGCUUGCACAGCAGGCAGCAAAACCACUGAGCUAAAUCCCCGGCUUGACUGUUUUUUUUUAUGAGAACCUUUCUUUAUGGAUUCACAAAUUACUCCAGGUAUGCUUAGAAAGGUUUUGCUUGUUUGUCUUUUUUAACUUUUCUUCAGCUUUCCAGCUUAGGUCUUUUUUCUAGGUCAGUUUUUCUUUGUUUGGUAUUUCUUUGUCUUUCCUGAAGGUUUCUCAUGUAUCUAGCUACCGGUGGUUGUCAGUAAGUAUGUAAGAAGAGACAUGAUACUCACCUGCAUUAGAUCUGUGCCCUAAUGGGAAUUUAGGACCUGGAGUGGUUUGCUUCAGCACAUUCCUAUGCUGUGGACCCCAGAUAACUAGGCGAAAAGCUUUUUACUCCAAUGAUGUCAGCACCCAUCUUUGCUUUAUUUUCUAGAGUAACACCCCUUGGAUUUUUGUCUGAGGAAAAAUACUGGUUCGGCCUGGGCUAGUUGCACCCCUGGCUUGUGUCAACCCUCAAUAUUUCAUGGCCAGAAGUGCAGCCAUUCUCAAGACUUAGUUGUUUGUCUUUGUCAGAUAACACUCUGCAGCCACCUCCCUUUUAAUUUAGAUAUUUGCAUCACUUCUUGGCCUUUUGGCUAAGAUCAAGUGUAAUUUAGGUAUUUGCUGGAUUCUCAUCUUCUGGUGACUCUUCCCUGUCUUAUUUUUAUUAUUAUAGAUAUAUCAUUUCUUGGCUUCCAUGCUUUAGUUUCAUUGAAGUCUCCAAGGAAAUAGAACUCAUUAGCUUACCAUCUUGAACCUGAAACCACUGAGGAUUUUGAGAGCAGGGCUUGAGGCUGUCCGUCAGACUGAACCGAGAAGGCAUCACUGGGUGUGAAGAUGUGCUGAGGGAGUUUGGAGUGGUAAAGUAGAGGAGAAUAAUUGAGGUAAUGAGAUUUUUGUCUAGUGCUAGCCCUCAGCAUCUCAGGUGUAGUCUGGAAGUAGUCCGAGUAUUUGUUUGAACUCAUUUAGCUGGGUUCUUUCUAGGCUGGCUUACAGGAAGGAUAACGUGAGCUGGUGAUACUGUUAAGAGAUUGAUUUGAACCGUGAACUUUACAGUUCAACUCGGAAAAUGAUUGUCGAGUACCUGUUAAGUGCCAGCCAUGAUUCUAAUUGCUUACGUAGAUGUGACAAUAAACAAAGAGAAAGUCCUACAUAGAGUGGGAAAACAGAACAGUAACCACAAUAAGUACAUUAUGUCAUUAUUGGAAGGUGGGAAGUGCAGUGUGGAAAAAUUAUGUGGUAGCAUAGAGUGAGAUUGAGCCUCAUCAUGAACCAGAUUUGAGCCAAAUAUGAUGGAGAUGAAUAUAUGAGCCAAGCAGAUAGCUGGGAGAAGGAGCCUUGUAGGUGAGUGAAGAGCAAUGCAAAGGGAACAGAAGGUGUCUAGAGUGGAUGUCUGAGGAAGCUGGGUUGUUACUGUGGAAUGAAUGUCACUCAGACUUCAUGACAGCAUGUAACAUAGGAAUAGACAUGGGGAGAGAACCUGCUGGAAGGCUGUGGAGGGACACAGAUGUGCACCAGAGGUAGUGUGGGCUAGGGUAGCAGUAGUAGAGAUGGUAAAAAGUAGAUGGACCCUGGAAAAAGUAGGUGGACCCUGGAUGUAUUUUGAAGGUAUAACCAAUAGGAUUUGCUGACAAAUGGGAUGUAGGGGAUGAGAAGAGGUGAGGCGGGGUGGUACAGUUGACUAUGAGGCAUGUAAUCUGGGCAAUUAGGAGGAUACUGCAGGGCUGUGGCUGGAACUUAGCGUACAGGAACGGGUGAAGAAUUCAUUUUCAGGCAUUUUUAAGUUUGACAUGUCUCUUAGGGAAUCCCAGUAAAGAUGUCAUGCAGCCAUCUGAACCUUGGAAAAGAAGAAAUAGAAAUAAAUGUAUGCUAAGGAUUACUAGAUAAUCAUCGAGGGAGUGAGCAUAGAGAAGAUGGCCAAAAGUGGAGCUAUGGAUCACUCUACCGUUUAAUGGUCAGGAGGAGAGCUAGCAGCCCAGAGCAGGUAUAAGGAAAACCAGGAGCAUAGACUGUCAUGGAAAAAAGGGAUGGAAAUGCUUCAAGAAGAAAGAUGCCUUCAAGUCUGUCAAGUGCAGCAGAAAGAUGAAGGUGAGGGUUGAGGUUUGACCUUUGGAUUUAGCAAGUAGGAAGUAAUAUUAAUGGUGUUUUAGAGCAGUUUUAGGAAAGUGGUGAGAAGUCUGAUUGAAAUACAGUUAGACGUGGCUAGUUCCUACUCUGAAAUGGGAAGGCAGUAGUGAAGUGAAGAUUAUAUUUUGGUUGCCUUAGGUCUAAGGAAGUAAAAACCAGCAUCAUACUGUUAAAGAAAUCUCGGAAAGAAAUACACAGAGACACAGAAUUUGGAUAAAAUAAUAAAAUUUCUUCUCGGGAGUGAGUGGGAACACCAGAAACAGUCUGAUCAGUAUCCUUGCCCUUUUUUCAGCAUUUCCCUUUUUAUAUCCUUUUUAGCCAUUAUCUCAUCCCUAGUGGUCUUUGAUGUGUAAAUACAAUUCCAGUUCCUAUUUACAAGUCACAGACACAAGAUAGGCCAUAUACAUUAUAAAUUCAACCUGGCCUGGUAACUUUGUUAGGUUAAUGAAGUUACAGGUUAGAGUCAGAUAAUCCUCACCUUAAAUAAGGAGUUACGGGAAAAGCAAAUCUUAAAAGAACACAUUACUUAUUUUGCUUCUACAACUACCUUAAUAAUCAGUCUAUUAAGUUAUCUAAAACUUUUCUGUAUCAAUACUUACUAGCACUAGACUAGUGUGUAUGGGGUGCUGUACAACUAAACAUCCUGUGUCAGGUAAAUGAUGUUAUCACUAUUUCGUAGGUGCGAAAACUCAGGUUUUGAGAUGAAAACUUUCUAAAGAGUAGCUGGCCCAUGUUGGAGCUAGGAAGCAGGGUAUUACAUCCCAGCUCUCUUUGACCUUGCAGUCUGUCCUGUACUACUGUGCUACCUUGGGUGGGAAGAUCAUGAACUCUCCAUACUGUCAGGUAAAAGGGCCGAAAACCAAGACCAGACCAGGCCACAACAAGCCAUUAUUAGGGGAAUAGAUCUGCCGGGCUGUCUCUGACCAAAGGAGAGACAAAAGCAAUAUGGCCUGGGCAGGGAGAAUCUUUUAUAGAGACUGGGGUGGGGUAUGUAGGGGCUGAGGUGGGGUUAAGUGAGGUAGUGACUAGGGAAUGGAGGAGCCGGUGAUGUCACUAGGUGGUAGGAGGUGAGUGAGUAGUAAGUUACUUUCUAGGGGGGAACGGCCAUACUGGGAAGAAGGGUUUAUUCUUUGGUGGGAGCAACCAUCUUGGCAUGAUGUCACACAGGGGAGGGGGCAAGGCAUGAUAGGAAGAGGGCAGCUACUAUACAUAAUAGCUGCUGAAGUAGUGGGAGACCUAUCAUUCCAGGCUUUUGUUUUAUGAUAGUUGGACGAAGGUCUCUUCUCCUGGAGCUGCUUCCUGCUGACAAGGGUUGAAGAUUGGGGCUAGACUUGGAUCUGAUGAGGCCCAUGGCAAGUGGGGACCUCUUCCUUUUGUCGUACUGGCUGGUACCCUGCCGUGAUGAACUCCAUGACUGCCUGAUUGGUGAAUGCCCUCAAUCAUUGCUGCAAGAAAUUUUGAAAACAGCGAACCAGGCACAGUCCAAAACAGAGAAUUAAACAGAUAAUACUGAGGGGUCCCAAGAGUAGUAAUAGCCAGGGGAGCCAUGAGCUCCAGGAACCAAACGUACCCCACCAUUGAUUAGUCCCUUGGGGGCCAUAUGUAUCUGGCCCAUUGAGUUUUAAUAUUUUUCAUUUGACAUGUAAUUUCUUUUUUCAUUAUUUACCUAGGUUUUACAGAGACAGCUGGAUGUUUAGGGGCUCAUUUGUUAUAGAAGUAAGAGACUGUUAUAGAAGUAAGAGAUCAUAGCUCCUGUUCUAAGGGCCCAUGUGUCAUGUCCUUGCUCUUAGAGAAUGAGUGGAAAAGUGAUAAACACAAUUUAUAUAAUCUUUAUAAUCUUUUUUUUUUUUGGAAUAUGAAAGGUGUAUGUAACUGAGCACAUGUCUUCUGGAGGCCAACAUACUGAUGAGUAUCGUGUUACUAUGAACCUGACUUGUCCUUUAAAUUCAAGGCCAUGAAAACACACAUUUUAGGUUGAUAGUUCCAGCAAAGCCAUGGAAUAGUUGUGUAAAAGACAGUUUUAUUCCUGUAUCUCUCAGUUUUUGGAGGCCUCCUAGAUAUAUUUAAAAAUAAAGAGAACUGAUAACCUCAACAAGGACACUAGCCAACUUAAGGGGAUCAAGUGUAACAUAAAAGGCUUGAUCUUUUUAGACACGAGUAGGUAUCCAGGAAAUAAAAGCACAAUGAGGGAAGAAGCAUCAUAAACAGAGAACAAGGAUGUACGUUAUUUUAAAAGGAAUAAAUCUUGUAGCUGCUUGGUAUAGAACUUAUCCUGACUGUGGCUGACAAGCAGGUGAUUUUUUCCCAAUACUCUUACUUUAUGGUUUUUUGUUUUUUGUUUUUGAUCACUACACGAUAGUUAAUUAGUUAUCACAGAAUCAGAAAAAUACUUAACCUAAAAGGAGAGACCUGGAGACCAGUGGUUUCUAGGAUUAGACACCUGUAAAGAACUUCUUUUAAUUUUUCUGGAAAGAAUCUGUACACACUUGUAGCUAAUUAAUGAUUUUCCCUUCUAUUUAGUACCCAAAGUUUUGUCUUUUUGAAAUGGCUGUGUCAUGAGUGAACCAAAAGAUUUUAAUGGGUGGGCUAUGUCUUAAUUUUUCUGAAGUCUAGCUUUGUUAUUAUGUCAUUGUUUUAUACCUCUUUUGGUUAUUUUUUCUGCUGAGUGUUUAAGACCAAGUUAAAGUGAGACCUGUGUCAGUCAAUAUGAACCUGUUGUUAUCCAUCAAGGUCAGUUAAGUCUCCCCGGGCCAUUACUUUAGAACCAUAUAUAGAGCCUCUCUGCUGCUUUGUCAGUGUCAGCCAUCUGGAUGGGUCAUGGCCUUACUUGACCAAGUUGUUUUCAGUGAAAUCAUGGGAGAUUUUUUCUUGGUGACCCUCCCUUGGCACACAGUACAUUGUCCUCUGGUGUCCAGCAAUCUCCCUGAUUAGGAGGUUGAGUGACUUAGCAAAGACGUAGGACCCUGUAGAGAAGGUUUCCUCAUGUCCUGGAUCUUUGUUGACCUUGAGGGGCCAGGGCCAAAAUAUUGGCUGUCCUCAUAGCCCAGUUACCUUUUUAGUUUUGGUCUCCAAACUUUAGUUGUUGAACACCCAGAAGAGAAGGUCAAUAGCAUUAGCAUUGUAACAAGAGUAAUGAGUUUAACUAUUAUGAUUUUACCUGAAUAACAAGCAUUUUGGAAUUUAAAUAAAGAGAACUGUUAUUGUUAUCAGUCAUGGUUGUUUUAGUAGUUGAAUUCCUGUAGAAUAUUAACAGAAAAAGAGCCACAAAUAAUAUUUUAACAUGACAAUUAUGAUGACUUUACCUUUGUAACACAUUUAAAUGUCCAUCUUGAUAUAAAAUAGCCAUUGUUAAACACUCAUUUUUUAAAAAAAAAAA